CAUUACAGCUGCUCCCCAUCACCACUGUGGCUGUGAUAUUAAAAGGAUUAGAGCAUUUGAAAAAUAUGCCUACAUGCAGCCUGUGCCAUCUGCAAAUAAUUAGGAAUAAAUAUAGAAAGUUUAAUCGUGAAAUUGCACGUAUGUUUGUUUGCAGUACCCACAGCUCUGAGGGUGAACGGGCCAACAAAUGGUCUGGGUGUUGAUGGACGUCCUCCGUUACUAAGUCCCUCACAGGUCUCCAUAGGGCCUCAAAGUCGAGGCUAUCGUUCUUCUGAUUUAGGAGACAGUACCUUAUCAUCCGUCAUGAAUUCAGGCCCUCCAAAGAAGCGUCACAGGAGCUGGCACCCCAACUCCGCUAUUCCUGUCCCACCAACAGCAGUACCAGUUCCAGCCAUCAGGCCCAUUGUUUGUACCCCAGGUCGGCUGCUAAACUCUUUAAAGCAUUCUGCAAAACAAAAA